rnacentral:rRNA from 1 species
GAUGAACGCUGGCGGCGUGCCUAAUACAUGCAAGUCGAGCGAACGGACGAGAAGCUUGCUUCUCUGAUGUUAGCGGCGGACGGGUGAGUAACACGUGGAUAACCUACCUAUAAGACUGGGAUAACUUCGGGAAACCGGAGCUAAUACCGGAUAAUAUUUUGAACCGCAUGGUUCAAAAGUGAAAGACGGUCUUGCUGUCACUUAUAGAUGGAUCCGCGCUGCAUUAGCUAGUUGGUAAGGUAACGGCUUACCAAGGCAACGAUGCAUAGCCGACCUGAGAGGGUGAUCGGCCACACUGGAGCUGAGACACGGUCCAGACUCCUACGGGAGGCAGCAGUAGGGAAUCUUCCGCAAUGGGCGAAAGCCUGACGGAGCAACGCCGCGUGAGUGAUGAAGGUCUUCGGAUCGUAAAACUCUGUUAUUAGGGAAUAACAUAUGGUAAGUAACUGUGCACAUCUUGACGGUACCUAAUCAGAAAGCCACGGCUAACUACGUG